rnacentral:rRNA from 1 species
AACGAACGCUGGCGGCAUGCCUAACACAUGCAAGUCGAACGAGACCUUCGGGUCUAGUGGCGCACGGGUGCGUAACGCGUGGGAAUCUGCCCUUGGGUUCGGAAUAACAGUUAGAAAUGACUGCUAAUACCGGAUAAUGUCUUCGGACCAAAGAUUUAUCGCCCAGGGAUGAGCCCGCGUAGGAUUAGCUAGUUGGUGAGGUAAAGGCUCACCAAGGCGACGAUCCUUAGCUGGUCUGAGAGGAUGAUCAGCCACACUGGGACUGAGACACGGCCCAGACUCCUACGGGAGGCAGCAGUGGGGAAUAUUGGACAAUGGGCGAAAGCCUGAUCCAGCAAUGCCGCGUGAGUGAUGAAGGCCUUAGGGUUGUAAAGCUCUUUUACCCGGGAUGAUAAUGACAGUACCGGGAGAAUAAGCCCCGGCUAACUCCGUGCCAGCAGCCGCG